rnacentral:rRNA from 1 species
GACGAACGCUGGCGGCGUGCUUAACACAUGCAAGUCGAACGGAAAGGCCCUGCUUUUGUGGGGUGCUCGAGUGGCGAACGGGUGAGUAACACGUGAGUAACCUGCCCUUGACUUUGGGAUAACUUCAGGAAACUGGGGCUAAUACCGGAUAGGAGCUCCUGCUGCAUGGUGGGGAUUGGUAAGUUUCGGCGGUUGGGGAUGGACUCGCGGCUUAUCAGCUUGUUGGUGGGGUAGUGGCUUACCAAGGCUUUGACGGGUAGCCGGCCUGAGAGGGUGACCGGCCACAUUGCGACUGAGAUACGGCCCAGACGCCUACGGGAGGCAGCAGUGGGGAAUAUUGCACAAUGGGCGGAAGCGUGAUGCAGCAACGCCGCGUGCGGGAUGACGGCCUUCGAGUUGUAAACCGCUUUCGACUGUGACGAAGCGUGAGUGACGGUAAUGGGUAAAGAAGCACCGGCUAACUACGUG